rnacentral:rRNA from 1 species
UACGUAGGGGGCAAGCGUUGUCCGGAAUCAUUGGGCGUAAAGAGCGUGUAGGCGGUCCGGUCAGUCGGUUGUGGAAGUCAAGGGCUCAACCCUUGAAUGCCGGCCGAUACUGCUGUGACUUGAGUCUGGUAGGGGAGUGGGGAAUUCCUGGUGUAGCGGUGAAAUGCGCAGAUAUCAGGAGGAACACCGGUGGCGAAGGCGCCACUCUGGGCCACGACUGACGCUGAGGAGCGAAAGCAUGGGUAGCAAACAGG